UUGCUUCUUCAUGCCAAGUUGAGUCUACCAUGGAAGUUGAUGAUGAUUUAUCUGACUUUGAUGUAUUUGUUACAAGUAAUCAGACAAGCCAAGUUUCUGCUAAAAAGUCAGAAUUGGAUCGUUAUUUGGAAGAGGAUGUGAUACCGAGAGUUAAUCAAGACUUUGAUGUUUUAGCUUGGUGGAAAAAUGACAUGAAGUUCCAACUUUGAGGGUCAUUGCUAGGGAUGUGUUAUCUAUACCUGUUUCUACUGUUGUGUCCGAGUCUGCUUUCAGCACUAGUGGGAGGGUUGUGACUCCACAUCGUAGUAGGCUCCAUCCCAAGACAAUAGAAGCAUUGAUGUGCGCUCGUAGUUGGUUAUUGGCUCAAGAAUCUGAAGGUAAUAAUUCAAAUGAGUUUGCUUCGAUUCUUGAUGACAUGGAUGUUGAUAGCUCUCAGUCUUGUGUUACAAUGAUUGAAGACUGAUUUAGUAAGUUUAAUUAUGAAAUAUUUGUUGUCAUA